rnacentral:rRNA from 1 species
AUACGGAGGAUCCGAGCGUUAUCCGGAUUUAUUGGGUUUAAAGGGUGCGCAGGCGGGAGAUUAAGUCGGCGGUGAAAUUUUGCAGCUCAACUGUAAAAGUGCCUUCGGAACUGGGUUCCUUGAGUGUAGAUGAAGUAGGCGGGAUUUUGGGUGUAGCGGUUAAAUGCAUAGAUAUCACGAGGAACUCCGAUUGCGCAGGCAGCUUACUAAACUACUACUGACGCUCAGGCACGAAGGCGUGGGGAUCAAACAGGAUUAGAUACCCUGGUAGUCCACGCAGUAAACGAUGAUUACUAGCUGUUUGCGAUACAAUGUAAGCGGCUGAGCGAAAGCGUUAAGUAAUCCACCUGGGGAGUACGUUCGCAAGAAUGAAACUCAAAGGAAUUGACGGGG